ensembl:miRNA MIR6844 microRNA 6844
GAACUUAAGAAUUUUGUAGAAAUCAAGCUAUUUGCUAAAAGUUCUUUGUUUUUAAUUCACAG